AUGGCCGUUAAGCACUGGGAUUCAGAUGUGAAGUUCUGGUUGAGCACAAAGAGGUGCCUGAUAAUGAAAGGGAAAGUGUAUCACAGUUCAAUGGAGGCAGCAGUGUAUACGUAUCCUUCCAGGAGGCGUGCAUGCUUCUCCUCCUCUGCUGGAGACUUCAUGAGAAAUCCCUUGUCCCAGGGUCCCAAAUUACUCAAAGCAAGUGAAGGCACUGAAAUCACUACAGCAGUUUCCUCUGCUUCCUUUCUUACAACGAAAGAGUCCUGUUGAGACAACCUAAUACAGAAGAGAGUUCACAGGAGUGGUCUCCGGUCCUCCCUUUAAGCAGCGGUCGUAUUAUUAGAGCAAGGUUGUUUGCCUUGCCAGGAGAUCUCCUCGCUCCCAUCAGCAGAGGCAGCUUUCUGACACGCAGCGGUUUCGCCGAUCGUAUUUCAAGUGACCCCUGUAAUUGGAAAUCUCCCAGCAGUACAGAGAUUUCUCCUGCUAGCGGACAAGUCCUACACCAAAUCCUACAGCAGAAUAUUUCCCUGUUUUGGACGCCUACUCUUUUCUCUGAAAACAGCAAAAAUGAGGUUUUUGUUUGGUCCGAUCCAACACCUCCUAAGCAGAGGGGAUGAGAUUCAUACAAUGGAUACAGAGCUCAGUGCCACGUGCCUCGCUGGGGACAUAGCCCUCCUCACUGUGUGAUGCAAGAUUGGAUGAGGUGGAGACCUCAUCCAGCCCUGUUUGUGCAGGAGGAGAGGAGCAAAUCGAACACAGGAGCUUUAAUUGGAAGUGAAAACUACCAAGAACUGCAAAAUGCGGCACCUGACCAUGUGUGGAAGUGGGCUGCCUUCACCUUUACCUGACAUUGCAGGACAGAUGAAGCUACAGCACUCCAUAGCACUCACAGAUAAUUACCUUUCUUCCGCGAGAAUUUACUUCUCAGUAUAAAUGGUAUCUCAAGUCGGGAGCUCAGGUACUUCACCCUUCUUUCACAAGGUCAAACAAUGACAAGAUGAUGAUUUUUCUGGUAUUACUGUAGCAAAGCCACCCGGUCAUUUUAGAUUCCUACCCUGUAUGAUGAGAAUAUUGAGUGUGGGAGGAAAGGCAAAGUUUGGAGAGACCAGCUCUGCACCUCACAGGUGUUAAGGGAUGUCUGCUGAGCGGGGCUGGAGAACAGGUCCUAUCAAGUGGGUGGUGUAAACAUCUCUCUGUGCUCCCAAAGGCUAAAGGAGGACCUUCAUGUUCAAGCCAACCUCUUUGCUGCAGCUGAACUGAGAAUUAUUUCUUUAAUAUGUGUGAAUCUGGAGGACUGAAGUUCCCCAGAAGUUACUAGAAGUGUCUAAAGAUGUAAUUUAUUGUCUAAAGGACACACUGCCAUGUCUCUGCAGUGCUUAGCCAACAAAGCAAAGUGAAUGUCCAGAGCAAAAGGACUUUUUCCCUCCCUGAGUUCCCUUAGGUCGAAGUUUGGAGAGGAUAAGGAUUAUUCCAGGGACCACAUCUUGCUUUUGAGCUGAGAAAACCACUGCAGGGAGCGCGCUCUGGGAAGCUGGAGCCAUGUCCAGCUCUUGGAUGCAGAGAUGAAGGAAGGCUCGGUUGUUUGGAUCCAUAGUAAGUCUAGUAAAUAUUUCAGCAUGAAGUGGCCUGCUUGUUGU
rnacentral:lncRNA from 7 species